GACGAACGCUGGCGGCGUGCUUAACACAUGCAAGUCGAACGGAAAGGCCCUGCUUUUGUGGGGUGCUCGAGUGGCGAACGGGUGAGUAACACGUGAGUAACCUGCCCUUGAAUUUGGGAUAACUUCAGGAAACUGGGGCUAAUACCGGAUAGGAGCUCCUGCUGCAUGGUGGGGGUUGGAAAGGUUCGGCGGUUGGGGAUGGACUCGCGGCUUAUCAGCUUGUUGGUGGGGUAGUGGCUUACCAAGGCUUUGACGGGUAGCCGGCCUGAGAGGGUGACCGGCCACAUUGGGACUGAGAUACGGCCCAGACUCCUACGGGAGGCAGCGGUGGGGAAUAUUGCACAAUGGGCGGAAGCCUGAUGCAGCAACGCCGCGUGCGGAAUUACGGCCUUCGGGUUGUAAACCGCUUUCGCCUGUGACGAAGCGUGAGUGACGGUAAUGGGUAAAGAAGCACCGGCUAACUACGU
rnacentral:rRNA from 1 species